ensembl:misc_RNA Metazoa_SRP Metazoan signal recognition particle RNA
GCCGGGCGUGGUGGCUCACGCCUGUAAUCCCAGCACUUUGGGAGGCCCAGGUGGGCAUUUCACUUGAGGCCAGGAGUUCAAAACCAGCCUGGCCAACAUAGUGAAACUCCAUCUGUA